rnacentral:tRNA from 1 species
CCUUCGAUAGCUCAGUUGGUAGAGCGCAGGACUGUAGGUUCCUAAUUACAGGCAUCCUUAGGUCGCUGGCUCGAAGGA